rnacentral:rRNA from 1 species
UACGGGGGGGGCAAGCGUUGUUCGGAAUUACUGGGCGUAAAGGGCUCGUAGGCGGCCAACUAAGUCAGACGUGAAAUCCCUCGGCUUAACCGGGGAACUGCGUCUGAUACUGGAUGGCUCGAGUUUGGGAGAGGGAUGCGGAAUUCCAGGUGUAGCGGUGAAAUGCGUAGAUAUCAAGUGGAACACCAGUGGCGAAGGCGAGUCUCUGGACAUUUCCUGACGCUGAGGCACGAAAGCCAGGGGAGCAAACGGG